GUUUGAUCAUGGCUCAGGAUGAACGCUAGCGGGAGGCUUAACACAUGCAAGUCGAGGGGCAGCACGGGGUAGCAAUACUCUGGCGGCGACCGGCGCACGGGUGAGUAACACGUGUGCAACCUACCCUGUACAGGGGGAUAACCCGGAGAAAUUCGGACUAAUAUCCCAUGGAAAUAUUGGAAGGCAUCCUUUGAUAUUUAAAGUUCCGGCGGUACGGGAUGGGCAUGCGUAACAUUAGCUAGUUGGUAAGGUAACGGCUUACCAAGGCUUUGAUGUUUAGGGGUCCUGAGAGGGUGGUCCCCCACACUGGUACUGAGACACGGACCAGACUCCUACGGGAGGCAGCAGUGAGGAAUAUUGGUCAAUGGGCGCAAGCCUGAACCAGCCAUCCCGCGUGCAGGAAGACGGCCCUAUGGGUUGUAAACUGCUUUUCCAGGGGGAGAAACUUGCGCACGUGUUGCGCAAUUGACGGUACCCUGGGAAUAAGCAUCGGCUAACUCCGUGCCAGCAGCCGCGGUAAUACGGAGGAUGCGAGCGUUAUCCGGAUUCAUUGGGUUUAAAGGGUGCGUAGGCGGACUAUUAAGUCAGUGGUGAAAUCCUGCAGCUUAACUGCAGAACUGCCAUUGAUACUGAUAGUCUUGAGUUUGGUUAAGGUAGGCGGAAUGUGUAAUGUAGCGGUGAAAUGCUUAGAUAUUACACAGAACACCAAUUGCGUAGGCAGCUUACUGAGCCGACACUGACGCUGAGGCACGAAAGCGUGGGGAUCGAACAGGAUUAGAUACCCUGGUAGUCCACGCCGUAAACGAUGAUUACUCGCUGUUGGCGAUACACUGUCAGCGGCUAAGCAAAAGCAAUAAGUAAUCCACCUGGGGAGUACGGC
rnacentral:rRNA from 1 species